UACGAGGGGGGCAAGCGUUGUUCGGAAUUACUGGGCGUAAAGCAUGCGUAGGCGGUUUGGUAAGUUAGAUGUGUAAUCCCCGGGCUCAACUCGGGAGCUGCAUUUAAGACUGCUAGACUAGAAUAUGGUAGGGGGUAAUGGAAUUCUUAGUGUAGGGGUAAAAUCCGUAGAUAUUAAGAGGAACACCAGAAGCGAAGGCGAUUACCUGGGCCAUUAUUGACGCUGAGGCAUGAAAGCGUGGGGAGCAAACAGG
rnacentral:rRNA from 1 species